UCAUGCACUUACAAAAAAUUGCCAACAGGUUGUUGCUUCGCUACUAAUACAUAAUUUCUAAUAAGUUUUUAAAAUGUGAUCCCCAUUGUUACUUUCUUUGUGGUAAAUACCACCCAAUUUAGUUAAAUGUGGCGACAGUAAUUCUUAAUUCCUAUAAAAUUUUGCAUAUGAAAAGCGCAACAUGGGGCUUUCGCUUUUAACGCGAAAUAAAUGUUGAAUUAGCUAAAUACUUCGUUUUCGACGUAUACAAUUCGUACAACUGAAAAUUUGAAUCACUAAAGAAUGUAUUAGAAAUUGUACUCAAAUGUAUUCGUGGUAAAUUUACUUAGAUCUCUCGAAUUUGAAGGGAAUACCAGCACCAACAUACAUACAUUAAGCACCUGAGAAGUGUAUCUAUACCUACAAAAACAAACCAAUUAAACACCGUUAUGACGAAUUAUUGUCGUCUGCUUUGUACUUCCAUUAAAGUUCAACACAACCGGGAAGCUAUAUUUACAUUAUCAUCUGGGACAUGUUCAAUAUCUAUGAAAGUCAUCUCACCAAACAAAAUGCUCUUUGACUGGAAAACUUGGAAAAAAGGAUACGUCGAAAAUGGAGAUCUUGUUCCGGUUAAUUAGUACCUGGCGAAGCUUGGUCCAGCUUAAACGAAACUAGGCUGUCCUGGUCCUGGUCCUGUUCUCGUCCCAAUGAGUGUAGAUUUGCUGGGUUAGAAAUUAUACCAACACCAGGAAACAAAACAAAAUUACAUAAAAUGGAAAUUUCAUAAGAUUGCAGUGUUGGUCAUUAAUUUAUUAUGAUCAUAAGAAAUGAAAAGCUGCAUUUUAAUGCAUAAUAAUGUAUAUAUAUUUUGAGAAACUGCAUUAUUGCGAUUAAUGCAACAUCAUUCAUUAAAAAGAGUUGCAAUCAUAUUGCAAAGUUUACUUUAGGAAUACAAGUGCGAAUUUUACUCCAAAUGCCCCAAAAUAAUUUUUUUUCAUUGCUUCAAACUCAUGGCCAGUGUACCCUUGCAGAUUCAUAAAUGCGUCUAUAUCGAAUCCCUUUAAGGUGUGGGGAGAAUUUUCUAGUCGUGUGCGAGGUCGCACACCAACACUCGCCAGGGAGGGGGAGGAAAGUUAGGCGAUUGCGCAACCUCAAUUUGUCCAACCUUUGCUCCUUCAUCUGCUGUUUCGAAAUUCCUGGUAUUUAAAAACUGAUUUAGUUGUGCAAAUUCCUUCAAAGGGUAUUCGCUAAUGACGAUUGAUGCAUCAAAUUCCCUCUAAAUGGCUUCAAUCUCGUACUCAAUUUCCGCCAGAAGAACAGACGUGUAUUGGUCAAGUGGUUUAGGACAUUGGCCCCCAGAAGACGGAUGAGUGCUUACCCCUACAGAAAACUCUGCCUCGGGGUACUCUGUUGAAUCAGUAAGGUAAACUGAGGUAAUUGGACAGUCAUGUACAGCGUAAGGAGUGGAGGCGCCUAGCUUGAAAUUAUUAUAUUGAAAUGGACCAUAUUUUAUGGUAUUCAGAAAUUCGUCUAUAAAAACUCAAGUAAAAGUUUCUGUACAAUCCGUAUAGUUGCCAGUCAAAUUAAAAUUUGACAAAGCUCUAAACAUUUAUUUAUUACGUACUAAUUUUCCACCACAUACAAAUAACGUCUGGUUAUGUUAAACAAAAUUCUAUCGGCUCCGUUUCCCCGCAAAUUUUAAAAAUCGGUCGUAAUUUUUAUGGAAAUAUUGAAUCCAUCGAUGAAAUAUAUUUUCAAAGUAUAUAAUGUUUUUUCCAUAAUUAAAUUUUACAUACCCUAAAACACGCAUUUCUUUUCAUAAUCAGGUAUUUUGCACUGACUUUCUCAUUGAUUGUAGGGAUGGGACUGUUUUUAAAAAAGUACUGAUCAAAUCAAACCAUUUAAUUUAGAUCGAAUAAUUUAUGUUUCGUAUUUAUUUUUCACGGCGUCCUUGUCUUGAAUAUUGAUGUUUUCAUAAUUUUGUUAAGCCGUAAAUCCGAUUAUCUUCGUACAAUGCUGAGUGCAAACUUACCUAUUCUUUCGGUUAGGUUAAAUUUACAUUUAGAUCCUUGCAUUAAUUUUUUCCAAUGUUGUUAAACAAGUUACGCAGAACGUUGAUGGGAAGAUACAUAAUUUGCAUUGAAUCUCGUGAAGUAUGAAGCAUACAUAUUAGUUCACCCAGUCACUGAAAAUGUAAAUACAAAUGUUACUAAGCUCUUAAGUGAAACAUAAAUAGAAAUACAAAACAACCAAUUAAUUAUAUUUAGCAAUAAGAAAUUAAUCAUUUCUGUAUCUAAGUAUGUGCAUGUCCAUCGGAAUUACAUUUAAAAAUGUUUCUGUGGAAUUUGUCAACUUAUGUAACACCUUUAUAUUUUUUACAUACAUAUUAUGUAUGUAAAUGAUGCAUAAAAACGAAAAAAGUCACAGAUCCAUAAAAACUGUUAAGAAAUUAGUUAAGUUAAAUUAAAAACUAUGGGAAAUAUUCUUCUAUAAAUUUAAUAAACAGAAUUAUUUAAAUAAUUUGACACAUAAUUUUAAAACGUUUAAUCAGCGUCUGUAGGUAACAUCUGUAUACUCCGUUUCGAAUUUGGAAUGUAAGAAAAAUUAUAUUAAACGUUAAAAUUCAAAAAUACACAUAAAAACACACAACGUUUUUGGCCAUUCUUCUAGGGGCCCCCAAAAUAUAGUUACGCCACUAUCUGCAAUUGGUCCAAAUGAUUUUUGAAAACGAAUCAUGCUGACCAGAAAGCUUCACGGUGGUGUUGUAGUACGGUCCCAUGAACAAAUAAUUUACUGAUGCAAUGGUUGAGGAAUCAGCAGAAGAACUAACGGAUUGAUUUCGUACCCACAUCUCUGUCCGGUUUUUCUAUACGGUCGGUACAAUAUAGAGCUCUGAGGAGCUCCUUUCGGAACCAUUAAGGUGUAGCGUAUAGAGUAAUAGCGGCCACUUGAUGUUCCAAACUUACCCGUCAACGUGAACGUGCUAAAAACUAUGACAUAAAUAUAUAUGCACAAUGUAAAAGUACGAAUAUACAUAUGAUUACAUAUGAACACCUUCUAUAAUAUAUUGAUAAAAAUCGUAACGCAAAAGUGUCCAGUGUUAUCGGAAGGCGAGUGACUGUGCCUGAAGGGUGCUUUGAAAGUUGCAUAAGUUGCAACACGCAUAUUCAUGUAAGCAAAUGCAUCAUUAGCUUAGUUCACGUUAAACGUAUAUUAUUGCAGUUUCUGCGAGAAGGUACGUCUUUACGACCAUUGGCACCGGUCAGAAUAAUUAUGAUCACAUAAUGACAACAGGAUUAUGACCAAAUUUGGUUUUAUUACGUGCGAUUAAAUCCACCCGCUUGCAAAAUAAUUUAUUCAUAUUCAACAAAUAACUUUAUCUUAGGGAAACACGCCCUUUCAAAAUCUCCUAAGGCAUCAGAGAUUUUUAAACUCGCUUUGAACUGCAGAUAAGCGUAAUUUCAAAUUAGAUAUCUACGAAUAUAGAGAUAGGCAAACUAAGUCUACAAUUGAAUUUUUAAUUGGCGAAUGUGUGGAGAUGAUCUCCUCAAUUAUUGCUUUGUUUAAUAGUACGAAGUCUAAUAAGACGCUCAAAUCCCCUGAUGGUUCUUUGUAAUUUUUCAACCAUUCGACGAGCUUUUCUUGUGUCGCGUAACCAUUUUCUUUGCCUUUGUAAGAUGGUCACUUGCCAUUUCGACCAGAUUUCUGGUUCUAUUUUUUUUAGUUAUUACCAGAUUCUCUGCAAUCUUUGGUAUUAUAUAUGGAUCUGAUAACCUAGCCAAAAUUUAUCCAUUUGGAGAUCUGAUUAGCUUCUUUAAAUUCAUUCACGAGAGGGCAAACCACACAAAAAAGGCUGUCAGAAUUUAGAGUUUCAUGUUAUCGGUGCGCACGUAAUGGGUAUAUCGCUAGUGUCCAGACAAAUUUACGGUUGGUUGCCUUAUUUUCCGCAAAAUGAAACAUAGUGUGGCGUCACCAUGGUCUCACCAUAUUCAACUAACAAAAAUUACAGAAACCAACCAUACAUUUGUCUGUACUUCUGGAAUUCGUUGCGUACUCACCGAAAUGGUGAAAUCUAAAAUUCCGACAGUCUUGGUUUUAAAACAAUUCGACCUAUGUAGUAAGGCGUUUCAUUUUUGAAUCCUAUUUGUUAACCGUAGCGAGUUCUCUGGCUGAAUACAAUGAGCAAUGGUGAUCUUAGCUAAUUAAGGACGGGUGUCUCAACUUAAUUCAUGAAUUUAUUGUUUAUACGAUCUGGUGCAGGUAAACCCCAGUCGAUAACGAUCUAGUACAAGCUCUUACGUGGAUGAAGAAUAAAAAGUUGAAAGUUAAUUGUUGUUCGUGCCUGUAAAUGCACUGCAUCAUUGAUACACUAACAUAUGAUAUAGAAAUUACAAUUUUAGGGAUAUGUAAUAAGUUGCUUUGCAAUUAUGGAAAUAUUACGAUCAAAUAUCUCGAAACCAUGAUACCGGUUACAAACAGUAGAAACUCGAGGGGCAUGAAGGAUAAUUGAGGGGGUCAAGCCAAUUAUUAGAAAACCAGCAUCAUGACAGCAGCUAGGAAGAGUAAAAAAUCAUUCAAACAUGUAUCAUUCACUGCAUCUAUAAUAAGCAUAAUACUCAAUUUAAUCUACUACACCACAAAUUUUUUUCCAUAUUUACAACCGACAAAGUAUGUAUAAGAUUGAUGGGAACAUACAAAAUUUACCACGGAAUUUCAUACAUGCAGCACGACUCGUUUAUAUUUCCUCGUUCACUAACUGAAUAUGAAAAUUCAAGUGUCAAACAAACAUACAAACUAAAAUCAACCCAAGAUUUGACUUGACAAGACUAAAUUAAAACUUAUGUAAGAGUGAGAAUUAUUCGAUUCAACAACGAAAUCCACCACUAAUUUUAGAAUUUGGUCAUGUUACUAUGGUCAGUGGCUGAUGAUUUAACUAAAUUUUUGUCGGGGCAACACUGACCAUAGUAACAUCUUAAAAUACUUGAUUCCAAAUUCUAAAAUCAGUGGUGGAUUUCGUUUCUGAAUCGAAUAAUUGUUAACUUUUAAGUUAGAACUUAAAACUUAUGCAACUAAAAUAAAACCCAUACAAACUAAAAUAAAAAUACACAAACAUGCCUAAGUUAAGGAAUUAAUUAUAUUAUAACAUAUUUACAUAUAAAUUAGGUCAAAUAUGUUUCCGUGGAUUUAUAUAGUAAGCUAAAUAAAUUUAUUUUCAAAUAGGUAUAAAAUAUUGAGGUAAUUCAUGCAGCCCUUUGCUACCAUUGUAAAAUCUGAAAGUUUUGUAAAAGGAUUUUGCAAAAAAGUCGAUCAAUUAAAAAAAUACAAGCUAAUUUUUCUCCGAAAUGCCUGUAAAAGUUUGCAAGUUUACUGAUUUCGCAUAGUUGCCAAGGACUACGUUAAUUGACUCGUUAUUCAUUUUUAAAAUACCCAAAUAAGUUAUUAUAAGUCGGAAUGAAUAUGCAAAUAUGUGCACAGAUAUAAAAAAAAUAUAUGUAUGAAUGUACACACUCGUACAUACUUUAAUAAUAAUGCUACUAAAUAAAUACGUACUUUUAGUGUCAAUAUUGUGUCAGUUUUUCCAUCGGUAAUUAAAAUAUGUCAUUACCAUGUCAGGCUAAUCAAGUUGCUAUAGGAUGCAAGUAUUCAAUAAUUUAUAACUUAUUUCAUUCACAUGUAAAAAUAAAUGAAAUAUGUACUGAAA